GACGAACGCUGGCGGCGUGCUUAACACAUGCAAGUCGAACCCUGAAGGCCUGGCUUUUGUUGGGUUGGAUGAGUGGCGAACGGGUGAGUAACACGUGAGUAACCUGCCCUCUUCUUUGGGAUAACGCCCGGAAACGGGUGCUAAUACUGGAUAUUCACUGCUCUUCGCAUGGGGGUUGGUGGAAAGGUUUGUUCUGGUGGGGGAUGGGCUCGCGGCCUAUCAGCUUGUUGGUGGGGUGAUGGCCUACCAAGGCUUUGACGGGUAGCCGGCCUGAGAGGGUGACCGGUCACAUUGGGACUGAGAUACGGCCCAGACUCCUACGGGAGGCAGCAGUGGGGAAUAUUGCACAAUGGGCGAAAGCCUGAUGCAGCGACGCCGCGUGAGGGAUGGAGGCCUUCGGGUUGUAAACCUCUUUCGCUCAUGGUCAAGCCGCAACUGUGGGUUGUGGUGAGGGUAGUGGGUAAAGAAGCGCCGGCUAACUACGUG
rnacentral:rRNA from 1 species